CUUCCCCAGGGGAUGGCCUUGAGAGGGCACAAGCCCCCUCAAGUGUCCAUCAGCGCUUGACCGCCCGUAGAGCUAAGCAGCACCACAUCGUAGCUCGGGCUUGGGGGUAUGACAGACUGUCAGUGCUUGACCCUUUUGCGAGCAGGGCAGCCCCACACCACAGCUCGAGAAGAUGACCCCGAGAGCAGACAAUGGAGACCUCCCGGCCCUUGCCUGCUGCAGCCCCAAAUGACGCCUUAAAGAGGGGCCGCGGGCAGAGCCCUCCGCACUGUGCCCGCUGCCCCGCCCUAAAGGCGUCUUAAGGAAGAAACUCCAGAGGUUC